AGUCGCCGCGGGAAAACGAAGGGGGCUAGCGUUGUUCGGAUUUACUGGGCGUAAAGCGCACGUAGGCGGAUCGAUCAGUCAGGGGUGAAAUCCCAGAGCUCAACUCUGGAACUGCCUUUGAUACUGUCGAUCUGGAGUAUGGAAGAGGUGAGUGGAAUUCCGAGUGUAGAGGUGAAAUUCGUAGAUAUUCGGAGGAACACCAGUGGCGAAGGCGGCUCACUGGUCCAUUACUGACGCUGGGGUGCGAAAGCGUGGGGAGCAAACAGGAUUAGAUACCCCCGUAGUCCCUGUCUCUUAUACA
rnacentral:rRNA from 1 species